rnacentral:rRNA from 1 species
GACACGACCGUACCGCAAACCGACACUGGUGCGCGAGAUGAGUAUUCUAAGGCGCUUGAGAGAACUCAGGAGAAGGAACUCGGCAAAUUGACACCGUAACUUCGGAAGAAGGUGUGCCUUUAGUAGGUGAAGUCCCUCGCGGAUGGAGCCCAAUGAGGUUGCAAAAAAUCGGUGGCUGCGACUGUUUAUUAAAAACACAGCACUCUGCAAACACGAAAGUGGACGUAUAGGGUGUGACGCCUGCCCGGUGCUGGAAGAUUAAAUGAUGGGGUGCAAGCUCUUGAUUGAAGUCCCAGUAAACGGCGGCCGUAACAAUAACGGUCCUAAGGUAGCGAAAUUCCUUGUCGGGUAAGUUCCGACCUGCACGAAUGGCGUAACGAUGGCCACACUGUCUCCUCCUGAGACUCAGCGAAGUUGAAAUGUUUGUGAUGAUGCAAUCUCCCCGCGGAAAGACGGAAAGACCCCAUGAACCUUUACUGUAGCUUUGUAUUGGACUUUGAACAGAUCUGUGUAGGAUAGGUGGGAGGCUUUGAAGCAGGGUCGCUAGAUCUUGUGGAGCCAACGUUGAAAUACCACCCUGGUGUGUUUGAGGUUCUAACCUAGGCCCGUAAUCCGGGUUGGGGACAGUGCAUGGUAGGCAGUUUGACUGGGGCGGUCUCCUCCCAAAGUGUAACGGAGGAGUUCGAAGGUACGCUAGUUACGGUCGGACAUCGUGACGAUAGUGCAAUGGCAUAAGCGUGCUUAACUGCGAGACUGACAAGUCGAGCAGAUGCGAAAGCAGGACAUAGUGAUCCGGUGGUUCUGUAUGGAAGGGCCAUCGCUCAACGGAUAAAAGGUACUCUGGGGAUAACAGGCUGAUACCGCCCAAGAGUUCAUAUCGACGGCGGUGUUUGGCACCUCGAUGUCGGCUCAUCUCAUCCUGGGGCUGUAGCCGGUCCCAAGGGUAUGGCUGUUCGCCAUUUAAAGAGGUACGUGAGCUGGGUUUAAAACGUCGUGAGACAGUUUGGUCCCUAUCUUCCGUGGGCGCUGCAGAUUUGAGGAAGCCUGCUCCUAGUACGAGAGGACCGGAGUGGACGCACCUCUGGUGUAUCGGUUGUCACGCCAGUGGCAUUGCCGAGUAGCUAUGUGCGGAAGAGAUAACCGCUGAAAGCAUCUAAGCGGGAAACUCGUUUCAAGAUGAGAUCUGCCGGGGCCUUGAGCCCCCUGAAGAGUCGUUCAAGACCAGGACGUUGAUAGGUCGGGUGUGGAAGCGCAGUAAUGCGUUAAGCUAACCGAUACUAAUUGCUCGUGCGGCUUGACC